AGCAAAAAGACAAAAAAAAAAAAAAAGGUUAAGUGGUACAUUUAUGCUAUUACUAUAGAGCAUAUACUGUACUGGAGGAGAAAUUAUAGGCUAGAGAUAGUAGGCCAAAUCACGGUGAAAGUGGUGCUGUUCGUAGUGACGGUGGUGAAGGUGACGAGAAGGCUUGCAAAACACAGCUCUGAUUCAGAUUUUUCCAACUGUUUUGGCAUGAAAAAUGAUUUAAAAUAAAGGGAAGUCUCGCCCAGGGCUAAGAGUCAUACUUUGAGUGCUCACUGAAGGCUUAUGCUAAGAGAUUUACAUGCAUUAACUCAUUUAUUCUUCACAAUGAUCCCAUGAGAGUGGAAACUACUGUUAUCCUCUUUGGAGAUUUAGCAAAAUUAACCACCUGAUAAUUUUGAUAAGCCACGGAAAUAUGCCAUGGAGCCCAUGGUGCCAAUAGGGCGAGGAUUUGAACUUAAAAUGUCUGACGAGCCAAGUGGUUCUCAAACCUUAGUGUACAUCAGAAUCACCUGGAGGGCUUGUUAAACCAUAGAUUGCUGGGCUCUACCAUCAGAGUUUCACUGGUUCUGGGGUGGGGCCCAAAGAUUGCCAUUCUAACAAGUUCCCAGAUAACACAUAUGUUGCUGGUUGGGUACCACACUUUGGAAUCAGUGUAGUAGCUAUUUUCUUAACCACCACAAGUAAUAGUAGAAGGGCUUGCUCUGUCCAAGAAGCAUCCUGGGGAAUUACACAGGGUAACCGAUGUAUUGGAAGGAGCAGGUGAGGGAGAUAAGGAGCAGAGUUCCUACCCUUUCUCACUUUGCCUCCCUCUUUGCUAUGACGCAAGGGCAGCUGCUGAUGUCCAUUAGCAAGGUAUGAGUUUUGAGGCAUUUUUCCCUGGAAAGAGAGUGUGAUAGAGUCAUGCAUUCUCAUGAGUCUCCUUUGUCUAUCCAAAUAUUCCCAUCCUUCAAGCUCAAGAUGAAAUCCCGUCUAAGGUUGAGCUCUUGGUUUUCACAACUCAGAUUUUUUCUAGAUCCAGUGUUACGCAGGGUAGAGAUGAUUAAUCUCUCGUUGAUUUACAUGUGUUUGUCUUUCUUCUCCAGUUAGUUUAAAACUUUUUUGACGUCAAGGAUAGUGGUUUGUAUUUAUCUAGGACUUCCAUGUGGCUAGAACAUUGUUAGACUAGCUGUAUAGUCAAUGAUUACUGGGAAAAAAUGGUUCAAUCAGUCAGAGAUUACCAUUACAUUAAUAUUAAUAAAAUUAGAAUGAAAUAUACAAGAAUAUAAUGAAUAUUUCAGACUACUAAAUGUUGGUUAGACUCUGGCAGCCCUGCUGUUAGUCCAGUGAUGACUUUGAAGGAAAUAGAUAGAAAUUUACCUUUGUUCAAGACACCUAACUGGCAUCCAUACAAAUCUAAGAAUCCUGAAAGGGGAUGGUGACCCUGGAUCUGUGCAAGUUACACCUUGCACAACUCUUAGACAAGGAGGGCCCUGUGUAUUGGGUGGACCAUACGGAGUCACUGCUCCCUUCCAAAGCAGAUGAUGGUCUUAAUAAAUAUUACUCAUAAUAGCUCUCCCAUCGUAUGUGGUGCAUAUAUCUGUAACUGGAGUCAAAAUAUUCUGUAAUUUUCUAACCUUUGGUCUUUCUUCCCCAUUAUAUUUUAGUAAUGAGUGCCCUAAGGGUAAGGACCAUGUCUUAUCUUUGUAUUCCUGUGUCGAGAGAAAUAGACUGCCUGUCAUAGGCCCUCACAAUAAAUGUUUGCUGAAUGAAGUAAUAAGCGAAUAAAUAUAAAUUGCCAUUGUCAAGUUAUUUGAAGCUAUAUGAUAUAGGAAAAUGCUUUGGAAUUGCUUAGAGAAACUGCAGAGCGAUAGGCAACUUCAAGGGAGAAAGGUCAGUGGUGCCGUCUGAGUUUUGGUACUUCACUAUCGCAGAGUGCCACGACGAGUUUUCCUAGCCUUCUCACCAACGACCCAGGCGACAGGUGAAUUGAUUCUUCCUCCCGUUACACAUAAGAGGAGGUCUCUGGGUGUCUGAUGAGUGCCCUUCAGAGCCAUCAGUCCUGUCCUUGUUAGGGACCCUAGACUCACAGAAUUACGAGCUUGUCCCAGUUAUAUAAAUUCCACAGUUCUUUGGAAUUAUUGUUCCUUGAUGAUGUUGUCAGAUCAGGACACCUGCGUCUUCCAACAGUGGUGAUGUUUAUGUUGAAAGUCUUUAUGGAAAUAUUGCAUCGGAGAAUUUACUAUGGAGAUGUAGCAAAGCUCAGGAGUGCCUUCCUCUCUUGACCAUACGCCUUCAUUUGACUUCCUAAAAAUUCCUUCUUUUCUCUUGGCCUUUGUGUAGUCAUCACUACAGUUCAGCAGGUGUUGUUAGUAUCCCAUCCUCACUUACCCGCUUGUGGCCGGAUGGUGCUUCCCUGUCUCCCUGGAACUUGGGCAGCCAUGUGACUCUCUCUGGCCAAUGGAGGGGGAGGAGGGGGACGUAAGUCACUUCCUGCUGGAAGCCUGAAGAACCAGCCUGUGACUCCCUACUUUAUCCUCCCCGUUGCUCGGAUGAUGAUGGGUCAAACUGAAGCCUCCAUCAGCCCAAAGUCUCUGAGUAAUUUCUGUCUGUUGCAAAUUGUGCCUCUCCAAUAGUGAAGAAUAAAACUCCCCAGCAGAGUGAGAAGCUCCAGCCCCAAAGAAGAGAAGUGACAAAAAGAAGAAAAAAAAUUGAGAGGGGAGGUGGAAGAAAACUAUCAGACAGAGAAUAAAGCCUAAAAUGAACUAGCA